rnacentral:rRNA from 1 species
AUUGAACGCUGGCGGCAGGCCUAACACAUGCAAGUCGAGCGGAUGAAGGGAGCUUGCUCCUGGAUUCAGCGGCGGACGGGUGAGUAAUGCCUAGGAAUCUGCCUUGUAGUGGGGGAUAACGUCCGGAAACGGGCGCUAAUACCGCAUACGUCCUGAGGGAGAACGUGGGGGAUCUUCGGACCUCAAGCUAUCAGAUGAGCCUAGGUCGGAUUAGCUAGUUGGUGGGGUAACGGCUUACAAAGGCGACGAUCCGGAACUGGUCUGAGAGGGUGAUCAGCCACACUGGAACUGAGACACGGUCCAGACUCCUACGGGAGGCAGCAGUGGGGAAUAUUGCGCAAUGGGCGAAAGCCUGACCGAGCAACGCCGCGUGAGUGAGGAAGGUCUUCGGAUCGUAAAACUCUGUUAUUAGGGAAGAAGAGAAGUGUAAUAAACCGUGCAUGUUUUGACGGUACCUAAUAAGAAAGCCCCGGCUAACUUCGUG